rnacentral:rRNA from 1 species
UACGAGAGGCCCAAACGUUAUUCGGAAUUACUGGGCUUAAAGAGUUCGUAGGCGGCAUUGCAAGUAGGGUGUGAAAGCUCUCGGCUCAACCGAGGAAUUGCGCUCUAAACUGCAGUGCUUGAGGAACCUAGAGGUGAGCAGAACAGAUGGUGUAGCGGUGAAAUGCGUUGAUAUCAUCUGGAAUACCGGAGGCGAAGGCGGCUCACUGGGAGUUUUCUGACGCUGAGGAACGAAAGCCAGGGUAGCGAACGGG